rnacentral:rRNA from 1 species
UCUGGUUGAUCCUGCCAGUAGUCAUAUGCUUGUCUCAAAGAUUAAGCCAUGCAUGUCUAAGUACAAGCUGUGUUCACACGGCGAGACCGCGGACGGCUCAUUAAAUCAGUCUUUGUCCAAAUGGGCUAGUCCUUGCUUACUUGGAUAACUGUGGUAAUUCCAGAGCUAAUACAUGCAACUCAUACCCUGAUGGGAGGCUUCACUGUUAUUGCGCUUGUCGCUUUGCGGAGUAGUUCUCUUUCCUGACGGGUGCUUUUAUUAGACCAAACUGCUGGGGGUCAGUCGCGGUCAUCCUCUGUUGCUGUUGAGUUUAACUUCUCUGCACUGGGCACCAGUGUCCUUUGCGAGUUGUGCGCUCUCACACUGAGACCAUGCCCUUCUGAUCCGGCUCGCAAUGUGGUGACUCUGGAUAACCAAUUAUGACGAGCGCACGUACUCCUCCUUUGAGUGGGACGGCGCUGCCACUUUCGAGUGUCUGCCUUAUCAGCUGUCAAUCGCUCGUUACACGCGACCGAUGGCUUUGACGGGUAACGGAGAAUCAGGGUUCGAUUCCGGAGAGGCAGCCUGAGAGACGGCUACCACGUCCAAGGACGGCAGCAGGCACGCAAAUUACCCAAUCCCAGUACCUGGGGGAGGUAGUGACGAAAUCUAACGAUGCAGGCGCCCUUUCAGGGCCCUGCAAUCGGAAUGAGCACUUUCUAAACAACCUGUUGAGAACCUACUGAAGGGCAAGUCUGGUGCCAGCAGCCGCGGUAAUUCCAGCUUCAGUAGCAUCUAUUAAAGUUGCUGCGGUUAAAAGGCUCGCAGUUGAAUGUCAGUGCCGAGUGUUGGUAAGGUGGACGUUGGGGCGUGAGAUCAAGUCUCAGAUCUUUGGCGGUGCUUCGCGGUGCCCUGGAGUUUGGGGCUCUCACAAGCUCCCGUCCGUGACAAGCCUCCACGCUCGUGUACAUAGUGACGACCUUGCUGCGGUGGUUGGGCUUUCACGUUCGGCCAUCGCUGUGGUUUUCAGUGUCACCCUGAGUAAAUCAGAGUGCUCAAAGCAGUCGUAAUGGGCCUCGUGCCCUGAGAACAGUCUUGACGGACUGACUUGGUUUUGCAUGGCAUGUCGGAAGACGACGUCGGGCGCUGGCUAAGAGUGUCAAUCAGUGGUAUAAGCCAGCCCCGACGUACUGAUUAAAAGGGCCUGUCGAGGGCAUUGGUAUUGCGGAGCGAGAGGUGAAAUUCUAUGACCUUCGCAAGACCUCCUGAAGCGAAAGCGUCUGCCAAGGAUGUUUUCAUUAAUCAUGAACGAAAGUUAGAGGAUCGAAGGCGAUCAGAUACCGCCCUAGUUCUAACCCUAAACGAUGCCAACCAUCAAUCCGCGCGUGGCACCCUUUUUGACGGGCCCGGCGGGCAGCUCUCUCUCACGGGAAACCAGAGUCUUUGGGUUCCGGGGGGAGUCUGGUUGCAAAGCUGAAACUUAAAGGAAUUGACGGAAAGGCACCACCAGGCGUGGAGCCUGCGGCUUAAUUUGACUCAACACGGGCCAUCUCACCAGGCCAGCACUCUAGACUGAUUGACAGAUUGAGAGCUCUUUCUCGAUUCAGAGGAUGGUGGUGCAUGGCCGUUCUUAGUUGGUGGAGUGAUCUGUCUGGUUAAUUCCGAUAACGAACGAGACUCUCCCCUGCUAACUAGUCGGUUGGAUCUUGCUCGGUGAGUCGUGUCCCAGUGGCGCUCGGUGCAUGGGUUUGGGUGUGUGUGCGCGCGCGUUGGUGGUUUGCUUCGGCUGAUCGCUGCGAGUGCGUGUGCGUGCCUUGCCUUGCGCAAGAGGCUCUGGAUAGCACACUCCAAGUCCACCGUUUAUGCUAUAACUCUUCUUAGAGGGAUCCACGGCUCUGAAGCCGUCAGAGACUGAGAGCAAUAACAGGUCUGUGAUGCCCUUAGAUGCUCUGGGCCGCACGCGCGCUACAAUGCCGGGCACAGCAGGUUAUCUUCCUGCUCCGAGAGGAGCGGGCAACCCUCUGAAAGCCCUUGAUUUACUCUCUCCGUACCUCGUGUGCGGGAGCGCGGCGUGCUUGGGCCUGGGGCUUGCAAUUAUUCCCCACAAACGAGGAAUGCCUAGUAGCGGUGGGUCACUGAGCCCGCCGUGAUUCAGUCCCUGCCCUUUGUACACACCGCCCGUCGCUACUACCGAUUGGGUGUACCAGUGAGAGCCUUGGACUGGCGGCCGUUGCCACCCCUCGUGGGCGGCAAGCGGAUUCGACGGAAAGAGGUCCGAACUGGUGCACUUAGAGGAAGUAAAAGUCGUAACAAGGUUUCCGUAGGUGAACCUGCGGAAGGAUCAUUA